GUGAGGAAUAUUGCGCAAUGGAGGAAACUCUGACGCAGCGACGCCGCGUGAGGGAAGAAGGUUUUCGAAUUGUAAACCUCUGUUCUCAGGGAAGAUAAUGACGGUACCUGAGGAGUAAGCCCCGGCUAACUACGUGCCAGCAGCCGCGGUAAUACGUAGGGGGCUAGCGUUGUCCGGAUUUAUUGGGUGUAAAGGGUGCGUAGGCGGCUUUGUAAGUCAAUCUUGAAAUCUGUAGGCUUAACCUACAGCCUGCGUUUGAUACUGCAUCGCUUGAGUUGAGUAGAGGUAAGCGGAAUUUCCGGUGUAGCGGUGAAAUGCGUAGAUAUCGGAAGGAACACCUGUGGCGAAAGCGGCUUACUGGACUUCUACUGACGCUGAGGCACGAAAGCAUGGGGAGCAAACAGGAUUAGAAACCCGAGUAGUCC
rnacentral:rRNA from 1 species